CCCGCUGAACUUAAGCAUAUCAAUAAGCGGAGGAAAAGAAACUAACAAGGAUUCCCCUAGUAACUGCGAGUGAAGCGGGAAGAGCUCAAAUUUGAAAUCUGGCGGUCCCUUGGGCUGUCCGAGUUGUAAUCUAGAGAAGUGCUACCUGUGCUGGACCGUGUACAAGUCUCCUGGAAUGGAGCAUCACAGAGGGUGAGAAUCCCGUCUUUGACACGGACUGCCAGGGCUUUGUGAUGCGCUCUCAAAGAGUCGAGUUGUUUGGGAAUGCAGCUCAAAAUGGGUGGUAAAUUCCAUCUAAAGCUAAAUAUUGGCGAGAGACCGAUAGCGAACAAGUACCGUGAGGGAAAGAUGAAAAGAACUUUGGAAAGAGAGUUAAACAGUACGUGAAAUUGCUGAAAGGGAAACGCUUGAAGUCAGUCGCGUUGUCCAGGGAUCAACCUUGCUUUUGCUGGGCGUACUUCCUGGUUGACGGGUCAGCAUCAAUUUUGACCGUUGGAUAAAGGCUUUGGGAAUGUGGCAUCCUCGGAUGUGUUAUAGCCCUUGGUCGCAUACAACGAUUGGGAUUGAGGAACUCAGCACGCCGCAAGGCCGGGUAUUCGUACCACGUUCGUGCUUAGGAUGCUGGCAUAAUGGCUUUAAUCGACCCGUCUUGAAACACGG
rnacentral:rRNA from 1 species